ensembl:lncRNA
CCCCGGGUGGCUCCGGCCCCGCGGGUGGCUCCGGCCCGGCAGCGGAGCCCUGGGAAGGCGGCGGAUCUCCGGGGCACGGCGUGGAUGCGUUCCGCUCUCUUCCCCACCAAAAAGCUGCGGGAACGGGAAGCGGAGGGUUUGUCGGUCUCGGCUGUCCGUCCUCUCGGCUGUCCCAGCACCAAUUGUAAGCUGGGAGACCCAGCCGGGGGAGUUCCCGUGGGCUGAGGGCUCCCCCUCUCUGCUCUCCGGCAACGCUCCGGGGGGUGGGGAGAGGUGCUGCCGGAGGGAAGGGGUGCCGGGGGUACUUUCGGCUCAGUGCUCGAGGCGUUUCCCCCUUAAAGAAUCCACCUCGGCGGCCGAGAGAAGCUGCUCCCGGCUCCCCCGUUCCUUUCCAUCUCUUUCUGUUUUUUCCCCCUUCUUUCCCCUUCCUGCCAACCGAGAACCUUCGGGGCGGGCUGCGGAGGGAGUGCGGCUGCUUGGGAAUUCACCUUGCUGAGAGCGAAGGGAAACUCCCCGUCUGCCUCCUUCCAGCGGGGCUGACAACCCGGCAGGGCCCCGCUAACCCCCGCGCGAGGAGGCACCGGCUGGCAGAACGCGGCCGUGCAGCAGCCGCCGCCAGCCCUCCCCGUCCAAGAAUGCGGGGCCCGGCUCCUGCGGGGCGGGGGUCAGCCCGAGGAGGCAGCGCGGAGACCGAGCCCUUAGCUACGAGCACGGGGGAGGCUGCGGGGGGGCUCUUGGCCUCCCAGCGCGGAGCGCGGCCUCCCCCCCACCGGGCUGGGGUCGGUUGCUUUUCAUUUGGGUCCGGGACCGGCGUCUCCCGGCCGCGGGGCGUGUGCGGAAGGAGGUGGGCUUCGCGCAGGUUGUGAGGGGCUGGUGGUGUGCCACCGCUGAUUACACGCUCUCUACUAAAGAUGGUAUCCGACAUGAGAUAAUGAGGCUCCGUGACCGGCCCCAGGUUCCCUUUAAGUUUUCCCAUGGACUCGAGCUGUCGCCAGUUCACAAAACGGCAGUGAUUUCUCCAAGUCGCCUCCCAGCCUCCCUUUGGUGUUCGUGAAAAGCCUCGCUCCGUCUCUCUCUCUUUUUUUUUUCCUUGGGGACUCCAAAGGGAAUCAAGCGAAAUGAAGUGAUCUGCGAGACAGGCGGGGAGCGCGCGUUGUGGAGGGGAUUUAGAGCAAAUCUGUAUUCGCUGUGAAACGUCCCGUGCUGGAAAACAAACAGCACCGGGGUGGAGGGGUAGGAGGGCGGGUGGUUGCAGAAGGAGCUCAGCCUUCGGGGGCGACUCCUGCGGCCGCCGGGCGGGGGGCGAUGGCUGCCGUUCGGGGAUGGCUCCGCGCUCCGCUCCGACGCUGGGGCCGGGCAGCUCGUUUCUAAUCUUGGGAGGGAGCGAAUAUAAAAGAGGAAUUUAUUAGCUUUCAGGCCAUCCGAGGAAUAAACAUUGAUUUUAUUGACCUAAUUAUGGGCCAAAUGACUCCUUCCAUCGAUCACGUAAAAUACUUCAUUUGGAGAAAAACAGGCGCGGGCGCCCGGAGGCGGGGAGAGCGGGUGGAUGUGCUGCGAAAGGGAAAGAAAAGCAAAAGCUAGAAAAUGUAUGGAGAGGUUUUAAUGCAGUUAACGUGCCCGUCGCGCUGCAGCGAGAGCCCUGUCUCCCAGACGUUGCAGUGCGGAUGUUUUGCAAACUUAAAGCUUUUAUGUCGAAUUCCAAUCCGGCCGGUCAAUUUGGCUAAAAUAGCAUUAAACAAAUGGACAGCGGUUUAUUUAUAUUCCGCCCACCGUAUUUUAUAG